rnacentral:rRNA from 1 species
AGUGAACGCUGGCGGCGGGCCUAAUACAUGCAAGUCGAACGGAGUGGCGCACGGGUGAGUAAUGUAUAGCUAAGCUGCCCUACACUAGAGGACAACAGUUGGAAACGGCUGCUAAUACUCUAUAGUGUAGGAUGAGGCUAUAUUGUAUCAGCUAGUUGGUGAGGGAAUGGCUCACCAAGGCUAUGACGCUUAACUGGUCUGAGAGGAUGAGCAGUCACACGCGACCUGAGACACGGUCGAGGCUCCUACGGGAGGCGGCAGUAGGGAAUAUUGCUCAAUGGGGGAAACCCUGAAGCACCAUCGCGUCGUGGAGGAUGACACUUUUCGGAGCGUAAAGUCCUUUUGUUAGGGACGCGGUACCUACCGAAUAAGCACCGGCUAACUCCGUGCCAGCAGCCGCGGUAAUUC